UAGAGUUUGAUCCUGGCUCAGAUUGAACGCUGGCGGCAGGCCUAACACAUGCAAGUCGAACGGUAGCACAGAGAGCUUGCUCUCGGGUGACGAGUGGCGGACGGGUGAGUAAUGUCUGGGAAACUGCCUGAUGGAGGGGGAUAACUACUGGAAACGGUAGCUAAUACCGCAUAACGUCGCAAGACCAAAGAGGGGGACCUUCGGGCCUCUUGCCAUCGGAUGUGCCCAGAUGGGAUUAGCUUGUUGGUGAGGUAACGGCUCACCAAGGCGACGAUCCCUAGCUGGUCUGAGAGGAUGACCAGCCACACUGGAACUGAGACACGGUCCAGACUCCUACGGGAGGCAGCAGUGGGGAAUGUUGCACAAUGGGCGCAAGCCUGAUGCAGCCAUGCCGCGUGUAUGAAGAAGGCCUUCGGGUUGUAAAGUACUUUCAGCGAGGAGGAAGGCGGUAAGGUUAAUAACCUUAUCGAUUGACGUUACUCGCAGAAGAAGCACCGGCUAACUCCGUGCCAGCAGCCGCGGUAAUACGGAGGGUGCAAGCGUUAAUCGCAAUUACUGGGCGUAAAGCGCACGCAGGCGGUCUGUCAAGUCGGAUGUGAAAUCCCCGGGCUCAAUCUGGGAACUGCAUUCGAAACUGGCACGCUAGAGUCUUGUACAGUGGGGGGCGACAACUAGGUGUCGCGGACAGCCGCGUAUACAUCUG
rnacentral:rRNA from 1 species